rnacentral:rRNA from 1 species
UACGUAGGGAGCAAGCGUUGUCCGGAUUUACUGGGCGUAAAGGGCGCGUAGGCGGUCUGUUUAGUGUGAAGUGAAAUCUCCAGGGCUCAACCCGGAAACUGCUUUGCAAACUGGCAGACUAGAGGAAGGUAGAGGUGAAUGGAAUUCCUGGUGUAGCGGUGACAUGCAUUGAUAUCAGGAGGAACACCCGUGGCGAAGGCGGUUCACUGGGCCUUUCCUGACGCUGAGGCGCGAAAGCGUGGGUAGCAAACAGG